GGAGAGGUGUCCGAGUGGCUUAAGGGCCGCGCUUGGAAAGCGCGUAUAUCCGAAAGGGUAUCGAGGGUUCGAAUCCCUCCCUCUCCG
rnacentral:tRNA from 1 species